CACGUAGGGUGCGAGCGUUGUCCGGAAUUAUUGGGCGUAAAGAGCUCGUAGGCGGUGUGUCGCGUCGGCCGUGAAAACCUGCAGCUUAACUGUGGGCUUGCGGUCGAUACGGGCAUCACUGGAGUUCGGCAGGGGAGACUGGAAUUCCCGGUGUAGCGGUGAAAUGUGUAGAGAUCGGGAGGAACGCCGGUGGCGAAGGCGGGUCUCUGGGCAACUCCUGACGCUGAGGCGCGAAAGCGUGGGGAGCAAACGGG
rnacentral:rRNA from 1 species